rnacentral:rRNA from 1 species
AUUGAACGCUGGCGGCAUGCUUUACACAUGCAAGUCGAACGGCAGCACGGGUGCUUGCACCUGGUGGCGAGUGGCGAACGGGUGAGUAAUGCAUCGGAACGUACCCAGUAAUGGGGGAUAACGCACCGAAAGGUGUGCUAAUACCGCAUACGCCCUGAGGGGGAAAGCGGGGGAUCGUAAGACCUCGCGUUAUUGGAGCGGCCGAUGCCGGAUUAGCUAGUUGGUGGGGUAAAGGCCCACCAAGGCGACGAUCCGUAGCUGGUCUGAGAGGACGACCAGCCACACUGGGACUGAGACACGGCCCAGACUCCUACGGGAGGCAGCAGUGGGGAAUUUUGGACAAUGGGCGA